rnacentral:rRNA from 1 species
CUUGCUUCUCUGGAUGAGUUGCGAACGGGUGAGUAACGCGUAGGUAACCUGCCUGGUAGCGGGGGAUAACUAUUGGAAACGAUAGCUAAUACCGCAUAAGAGUAGAUGUUGCAUGACAUUUGCUUAAAAGGUGCAAUUGCAUCACUACCAGAUGGACCUGCGUUGUAUUAGCUAGUUGGKGGGGUAACGGCUCACCAAGGCGACGAUACAUAGCCGACCUGAGAGGGUGAUCGGCCACACUGGGACUGAGACACGGCCCAGACUCCUACGGGAGGCAGCAGUAGGGAAUCUUCGGCAAUGGACGGAAGUCUGACCGAGCAACGCCGCGUGAGUGAAGAAGGUUUUCGGAUCGUAAAGCUCUGUUGUAAGAGAAGAACGAGUGUGAGAGUGGAAAGUUCACACUGUGACGGUAUCUUACCAGAAAGGGACGGCUAACUACGUGCCAGCAGCCGCGGUAAUACGUAGGUCCCGAGCGUUGUCCGGAUUUAUUGGGCGUAAAGCGAGCGCAGGCGGUUAGAUAAGUCUGAAGUUAAAGGCUGUGGCUUAACCAUAGUACGCUUUGGAAACUGUUUAACUUGAGUGCAAGAGGGGAGAGUGGAAUUCCAUGUGUAGCGGUGAAAUGCGUAGAUAUAUGGAGGAACACCGGUGGCGAAAGCGGCUCUCUGGCUUGUAACUGACGCUGAGGCUCGAAAGCG